rnacentral:lncRNA from 1 species
AGGGUUCUGGAUUGAACAAGUUAUGCAAAACUUUUGGCCAGAGUGAGUAUCACAGCAACUUCAAGCCACCACCAGAAUUGUAAAUAAACAGAAUGGGAGGGCAGGAAAAACUCAACUGCAGAGAAAAGAAAUGGAACAGAUGCUAAGAAACAGGAGACGCUGCUGGAUCAGAAAGAUACGAGGCUAACGCUACUGUUUCAAGUUGUCUUCGUUCCCGUAACUGUUGGUCCACUCCAUGUGUUUUCUUCUUCUUGGAGUCCAGAAUGAAGGAAAAGCUCCUGGCUGGGACAUUGACGGUCUGGUAGCAGAGGGAAAAGAGCAAUUGCAGAACCAGGAAGAAGUAAACAUCUCUUUGGACUUGUAAGAAGUAAAAUAUCAAAACCUCAACCAAAGAAACCAUCACAUCAUCUUGACAUGUUCAAGCAGAAAAGGGUUUGCACGCAGAGGCCAACUUCAGUGUGUACACUACAGCCAAACCGGGUGUGCUCGGAGCUCCUCCUGAAUUAAAGUCCACCGACUGUCUUCCAACCAGAUUUGAGGCAUAAUACCCUCAAGUUCUAGCCAUGUCAUCACAAGUGGCUGGAUUUCAUCAUUUCUUAUGGCUGAGUAGUAUUCUACUUGUUUAUAUACCACAUCUUCUUUACCCAUUCAUCCCUUGAUGGGCACCUAGGUUGCUUCCAUGACUUGCUUCAUCUUUUGAAAGUGAGUAAAUGGACAGUCCACAGCUCUGUCACUUGCCCUUCCCCUUCUGGCAUUUCUUGUUACCUAGGAGCCUGUCAUACUACCCACUGCCCUGCUCCCAUCCCCACUCUCUCCGCCACCACAGCCACACCUUGCUUCAUGCCCUCAUUAUUUUUUGUCUAAAUUAUCGCUUUUUCCAGACUGGUUCACUUGCUUCUGCUUUCACCCUCCUCUCGUCUGCCCUCCUAAUUGCCC